GACGAACGCUGGCGGCGUGCCUAAUACAUGCAAGUAGGACGCAGUUGCGAACGGGAGAGUAACGCGUAGGUAACUACCUAUUAGAGGGGGAUAACUAUUGGAAACGAUAGCUAAUACCGCAUACUAGUAGAUGGACCUGCGUUGUAUUCGCUAGUAGGUAGGGUAAUGGCCUACCUAGGCAACGAUACAUCGCCGACUGGAGAGGGGGAGCGGCCACAUUGGGAAGGAGACACGGCCCAGACUCCUACGGGAGGCAGCAGUAGGUAAUCUUAGGCAAUGGGGGGAAACCUGACCGAGCAACGCCGCGUGAGUGAAGAAGGUUUUCGGAUCGUAAAGCUCUGUUGUUAAGGAAGCGGUACUUAACCAGAAAGGGACGGCUAACUACGUGCCAGCAGCCGCGGUAAUAC
rnacentral:rRNA from 1 species